AUAAAUGAUAACAGCUAUACGCCGAUCAUGUGACGGCAUCAACCAGGAGGUAUAACUCAGACAUGAUAACAGCUAUACAGCCAUCAUGUGACGACAUCAACCAGGAGGUAUAACUCAGACAUGAUAACAGCUGUACGGCGAUCAUAUGACGGCAUCAACCAGGAGGUAUAACUCAGAAAUGUUAACAGCUGUACGGCGAUCAUGUGACGGCAUCAACCAGGAGGUAUAACUCAGAAAUGAUAACAGCUGUACGGCGAUCAUGUGACGGCAUCAACCAGGAGGUAUAACUCAGAAAUGAUAACAGCUAUACGGCCAUCAUGUGACGGCAUCAACCAGGAGGUAUAACUCAGAAAUGAUAACAGCUGUACGGCGAUCAUGUGACGGCAUCAACCAGGAGGUAUAACUCAGAAAUGAUAACAGCUAUACGGCCAUCAUGUGACGGCAUCAACCAGGAGGUAUAACUCAGAAAUGAUAACAGCUAUACGGCCAUCAUGUGACGGCAUCAACCAGGAGGUAUAACUCAGAAAUGAUAACAGCUAUACGGCCAUCAUGUGACGGCAUCAACCAGGAGGUAUAACUCAGACAUGAUAACAGCUAUACAGCCAUCAUGUGACGACAUCAACCAGGAGGUAUAACUCAGACAUGAUAACAGCUGUACGGCGAUCAUAUGACGGCAUCAACCAGGAGGUAUAACUCAGAAAUGAUAGCAGCUGUACAGCCAUCAUGUGACGGCAUCAACCAGGAGGUAUAACUCAGAAAUGUUAACAGCUGUACGGCGAUCAUGUGACGGCAUCAACCAGGAGGUAUAACUCAGACAUAAUAACAGCUAUACGGCCAUCAUGUGACGGCAUCAACCAGGAGGUAUAACUCAGAAAUAAUAACAGCUAUACGGCCAUCAUGUGACGGCAUCAACCAGGAGGUAUAACUCAGAAAUGAUAACAGCUAUACGGCCAUCAUGUGACGGCAUCAACCAGGAGGUAUAACUCAGAAAUGAUAACAGCUAUACGGCCAUCAUGUGACGGCAUCAACCAGGAGGUAUAACUCAGAAAUGAUAACAGCUAUACGGCCAUCAUGUGACGGCAUCAACCAGGAGGUAUAACUCAGAAAUGAUAACAGCUAUACGGCCAUCAUGUGAUGGCAUCAACCAGGAGGCAUAACUCAGAAAUGAUAACAGCUAUACGGCCAUCAUGUGACGGCAUCAACCAGGAGGUAUAACUCAGAAAUGAUAACAGCUAUACGGCCAUCAUGUGACGGCAUCAACCAGGAGGUAUAACUCAGACAUAAUAACAGCUAUACGGCCAUCAUGUGACGGCAUCAACCAGGAGGUAUAACUCACAAAUGAUAACAGCUAUACAGCCAUCAUGUGAUGGCAUCAACCAGGAGGUAUAACUCAGAAAUGAUAACAGCUUACGCCGAUCAUGUGACGGCAUCAACCAGGAGGUAUAACUCAGAAAUACCAGCAGCAUGAACGUUCUGAAACGGCACAAUUGUGGCACAAACCACUGAGUUUGGUGCCAAUUGGACGCACGGUGGUCCAGCCGCACGGCCGUCUCACACACCAUCACUAUAACACAUGCAGCAUCACUACAGGAGAUACAGAUCCAAGGUAUCAGCAGAGCAUGGAAGCCCAGCAAUUUAGGCAGAACAUCUACAGUGUGCAGUGACCACAGUGUCCAUUUGAGGAUGUUUCCAUGACAUCCACUGCAUCGUCUCCAUAUUUGUUAAUGCUACGUUUUCAGCCGACUUACAGGUUGACAUAUUUGCUCUUUUCUUUAAUUGUAGUUACCACAUUAUAUUUGAUCUUGCAGAUGUUUCAUUCCUUUUCUCAA